rnacentral:snoRNA from 14 species
AAAGCAGGUUGCAAUUACAGUGCUUUAUUUUGUGAAAGUACUGUCAUUAUCCUGCUGAAAGAAAAGCUGUGUUGGUCCUUUUUGAUUUUGCCACUGUGCUGGUAAAAUCAUGACAGACUGACAUCGACAAUU